AACGACUCUCGGCAACGGAUAUCUCGGCUCUCGCAUCGAUGAAGAACGUAGCGAAAUGCGAUACUUGGUGUGAAUUGCAGAAUCCCGUGAACCAUCGAGUCUUUGAACGCAAGUUGCGCCCCAAGCCUUAUGGCCGAGGGCACGUCUGCCUGGGUGUCAC
rnacentral:rRNA from 1 species